GCCUCCGCAGCUCAGUGGUUAGAGCACUGGUCUUGUAAACCAGGGUUCGGGAGUUCAAUUCUCCCCAAGGGCA
rnacentral:tRNA from 1 species